UUNAUGACCGACCUGCAGGUCGAGGAACUGGAUCAUUCCACGUAUGGCUGUCGAAUGGUAUUUUGCUUUGGAAAGAACCCAUACUUCCGCAAUGCAGAGAUCAUGAAGGAGUAUCACCUGAGCCUCACUGCAGGAUACAGGGCAG